AUUGAACGCUGGCGGCAGGCCUAACACAUGCAAGUCGAGCGGAGGGGCGGUCGGGGGAGUCAUGAUUAGGAAUCUGCCUGGUAGUGGGGGCUAACGUUCGGAAACGGGCGCUAACACUGCAUCCUAUUAGAUGAGCCUUGGUCGGAUUGGCUAGGUGGUGGGGUAAGGGCCUACCAAGGCGACGAUCCGUAACUGGUCUGAGAGGACUAUCAGUCCCACUGGAACUGAGCCACGGUCCAGACUCCUACGGGAGGCAGCAGUGGGGAAUUUUGGACAAUGGGCGAAAGCCUGAUCCAGCCAUGCCGCUUGUGUGAAGAAGGUCUUCGGAUUGUAAAGCACUUUAAGUUGGGAGGCGUUACCCACAGAAUAAGCACCGGCUAACUUCGUGCCAGCAGCCGCGGUAAUAC
rnacentral:rRNA from 1 species